AUGGCUAUGUUCCUUCACCCUAAAACCUUCAUUGAAAAACUGGACAAGAGGAGACGUCGGUUUUUCUGGCAAAGUUGGGAGGGACGAAAAAGAUAUCACUUGGUCCGUUGGAGCAGAGUGUGCCGCUCCAAAGACAAAGGCGGUUUGGGUGUGAAGGACUUACAUAAACAAAAUAUCAGCCUCCUAGUGAAAUGGUGGUGGAAACUGGAUACUCAAAAUGGGCUUUGGCAAGAUAUCGUUAAGGCCAAAUACUUGAAAAGGGAUACGGUUGGUACGGUGAAAAGCAAGUUCAAUGAUUCUCCCAUCUGGAAAAAUAUUAUGAAAGUAAAAAAUUACUACAUGUGGGGGAGAACAGUCCAGAUUAACUCGGGGGAUGUAGCUCAAGUUUGGGAGGACUCUUUGAAUGGAAUGCCUCCUAUGUGUGUUCAGUAUCCACAGUUGUUUAGCAUCUGUAAUCUGCCUAAGAUUACAGUUGACAAACUGGGAGGAGUGGAGGCCGGCGAUAUGUUUCGCAGGAGGCUAAACCCCCCUCUCGAAAACAUGUGGAAUGAGAUGUGCACGACUGUGUUGAAUACUAUCUCUUCAGCUGAACCAGACCAGGUUGGCUGGGCUCCUGGACCUAAACACCGCUUCACUACUAAAUCCAUGUACAAGUUGCUUGAAAGCAACAUUGCACGGUGUGACUACCGGUGGAUUUGGAAAGCCAAAAUUCCCCUUAAGAUCAAAAUCUUUAUAUGGCAGUUGUUUCAGGACGCGGUCCUGACGAGAGAUGUUAUGAAACGUCGAAAAUGGCCUGGCAAUGCUAAGUGUUCGUUUUGUGCUGCCCGUGAGACGGCGCAACAUCUUUUCUUCCUUUGCCCAGUUGCCAGGGUGAUUUGGCGAUCGGUGGGAGCAGUCAUGGGGGCUGACUUAUGUCCCAAUAACAUUUGGCAAUAUUACACUUGGUGCUAUAUCUAUCUUCCUGAUGGUGCUAAAUUCUAUACCUUCGGCCUUGCUGCCAUCUGCUGGGCAGUAUGGAACUAUCGUAACAGAGCAACCUUCGAGUUUAAGCUUCCUAAAACUCCUUUUGAGAUUGUGUUUUCCGCUUGUGUCUUCAUCACCUACUGGGCAGGUCUCUUGAAGGGGGCAGACCGUGAGGCGAUGGAGCGUGAGUCACAAAUGCUGAGGAGCAGCACAAGCAACAUGAUGAUGAUCUGCGCCGCUGCGACAGAAGAUUCGGCGACAACUUGA
rnacentral:rRNA from 1 species